rnacentral:rRNA from 1 species
AGUGAACGCUGGCGGUAUGCUUAACACAUGCAAGUCGAACGGCAGCUCAGUAGGUGCUUGCUCUCACGGGUGGCGCGUGGCGGACGGGGGCGGCAUACAUCGGAAUAUACUUAUUCGUGGGUGCUAAUGUAGGGAAACUCACGCUAUUAACGCAUACUACCUACAGGUGAAAGCAGCGGAAGUUCGGACCUUGCGCGAUUGAAUGAGCUGAUGUCGGAUUAGUUAGUUGGUGGGGUCAAGGCCCACCAAGGCGACGAUCGGUAGCUGGUCUGAGAGGAUGGUCAGCCACACUGGAACAGAGACACGGUCCAGACUCCUAAGGGAGGCAGCAGUGGAGAAUAUUGGACAAUGGAGGAAAGCCUGAUCCAGCCAUACCGCGUAAGUGAAGAAGGCGUUCGGGUUGUAAAGCCAUUUUGUUGGGAAAGAAAAGCAGCAGGUUAAUACACCACUGUUCUGACGGUACCCAAAGAAUAAGCACCGGCUAACUCCGUG